rnacentral:tRNA from 1 species
CGGGGUAUAGCACAGUCUGGUAGUGUACCAUCUUGGGGUGAUGGAAGUCGUGGGUUCGAGUCCCGCUACCCCGA